rnacentral:lncRNA from 1 species
AGAAUCCUGAAAAGAAUUAAGUUGUGAACCGAGGUACUACUGCCUAGGCCGCUUCCAAGGUUUAGCUCUUCUGAGUUGUGCUGCUGUCCGCAUAGGUGUGUGGAUCGCUGUAAUGUGAUGUCUCGAACUCUUUCGGGAAGAGACCUCGAAGGGGAGGAGCGGGUCCGACGGAGCCUCUGGUUUUAGUGUUUUGAGGAAUUUCCAUGCCGACGUCCACAGCGCUUGCACCAGUCUGCACUCCCACCAGCAGUGGAGGUUUCUUUUCCCUCUCAUGGCCUCACCAGCCCUAUUAAUUUUUCAAGAUAGCCAUUCUUUUUAGGGUGAGAUGCUAAUCUCUUUUUUUGUCCCAUUUCACAGGAACACAAGUCAACAGCCUGCUGGACUUUAUGUGUAGUAAUUGUCAGGUCUGCAGAGUCUUGGGUGGCUCUCAGUGCCACGUGACAGGAACGACAAGAAAAGACCUGUGCGAUGACAGCAAGCUGUUCCCGAGAUCCAGCACUUGUUGCAGUUUUCAAGGCACAUGGAAAAGGCUGCUUCUACAGCACCCCAUCUGGAGCCACAGGCUGAAGUCAAGGCAAGCAAGUUUUGCAUGAACUCUUCUCGUGGACCCUCCGUGAGACCCACACAGGUGAGUGCACAGACGCCUGUCAGCAUGUUUUCUGUCUGACGUCUCCACUGGGCUUUCAGAAUAGUAGCAGAACUGACUGCUGGCGAGGCUGGCCUCUUGAAUCUGGUGUUCAACGGC